rnacentral:rRNA from 1 species
UGGGGAAUAUUGGACAAUGGAGGAAACUCUGAUCCAGCAAUUCUGUGUGUGUGAAGAAGGUUUUAGGACUGUAAAACACUUUUAGUAGGGAAGAAAAAAAUGACGGUACCUACAGAAGAAGCAACGGCUAAAUACGUGCCAGCAGCCGCGGUAAUACGUAUGUUGCGAGCGUUAUCCGGAAUUAUUGGGCUUAAAGGGCAUCUAGGCGGUAAGACAAGUUGAAGGUGAAACCUGUGGCUCAACCAUAGGCUUGCCUACAAAACUGUUGAACUAGAGUACUGGAAAGGUGGGUGGAACUACACGAGUAGAGGUGAAAUUCGUAGAUAUGUGUAGGAAUGCCGAUGAUGAAGAUAACUCACUGGACAGAAACUGACGCUGAAGUGCGAAAGCUAGGGGAGCAAACAGG